rnacentral:rRNA from 1 species
CAGCAGCCGCGGGAAUACGAGGGGAGCUAGCGUUGUUCGGAAUUACUGGGCGUAAAGCGCGCGUAGGCGGCUUUUUAAGUCAGAGGUGAAAGCCCGGGGCUCAACCCCGGAAUUGCCUUUGAAACUGGAAAGCUAGAAUCUUGGAGAGGUCAGUGGAAUUCCGAGUGUAGAGGUGAAAUCCGUAGAUAUUCGGAAGAACACCAGUGGCGAAGGCGACUGACUGGACAAGUAUUGACGCUGAGGUGCGAAAGCGUGGGGAGCAAACAGGAUUAGAUACCCGUGUAGUCCCUGUCUCUUAUAC